GUGGGGAAUAUUGGACAAUGGGCGAAAGCCUGAUCCAGCCAUGCCGCGUGUGUGAAGAAGGUCUUCGGAUUGUAAAGCACUUUAAGUUGGGAGGAAGGGCAGUAAGUUAAUACCUUGCUGUUUUGACGUUACCGACAGAAUAAGCACCGGCUAACUUCGUGCCAGCAGCCGCGGUAAUACGAAGGGUGCAAGCGUUAAUCGGAAUUACUGGGCGUAAAGCGCGCGUAGGUGGUUUUGUAAGUUGGAGGUGAAAUCCCCGGGCUCAACCUGGGAACUGCCUCCCAAACUGAAUGACUAGAGUACGGUAGAGGGUAGUGGAAUUUCCUGUGUAGCGGUGAAAUGCGUAGAUAUAGGAAGGAACACCAGUGGCGAAGGCGACUACCUGGACUGAUACUGACACUGAGGUGCGAAAGCGUGAGGAGCAAACAGGAUUAGAAACCCGUGUAGUCC
rnacentral:rRNA from 1 species